GAUGAACGCUAGCGGGAGGCCUAACACAUGCAAGCCGAGCGGUAUUUCUUCUUCGGAAGAGAGAGAGCGGCGUACGGGUGCGGAACACGUGUGCAACCUGCCUUUAUCUAGAGGAUAGCCUUUCGAAAGGAAGAUUAAUACUCUAUAAUAUAUUAAUUGGCAUCAAUUGAUAUUGAAAACUCCGGUGGAUAGAGAUGGGCACGCGCAAGAUUAGCUAGUUGGUGAGGUAACGGCUCACCAAGGCAAUGAUCUUUAGGGGGACUGAGAGGGUGAUACCCCACACUGGUACUGAGACACGGACCAGACGCCUACGGGAGGCAGCAGUGAGGAAUAUUGGUCAAUGGGUGCAAGCCUGAACCAGCCAUCCCGCAUGAAGGAUUAAGGUCCUAUGGAUUGUAAACUUCUUUUGUAUAGGGAUAAACCUACCCUCGUGAGGGUAGCUGAAGGUACUAUACGAAUAAGCACCGGCUAACUCCGUGCUAGCAGCCGCCGUAACAC
rnacentral:rRNA from 1 species